UGUGUGCGUCGUGGCUGGCCUUGCAGGCGGCGGCGCAGAAGUACAAUGCGGUGUACAGCUUCGGCGACUCGAUCACGGACACGGGCAACCUGUGCACCAACGGGCGGCCGUCGGCGAUCACCUUCACGCAGCCGCCCUACGGCGAGACCUACUUCGGGAGCCCCACCUGCCGCUGCUCCGACGGCCGCGUCAUCGUCGACUUCCUCAGCACCAAGUACGGCCUCCCCUUCCUGCCCCCCUCCAAGUCCACCUCCGCCGACUUCAAGAAGGGCGCCAACAUGGCCAUCACCGGCGCCACCGCCAUGGACGCCCCCUUCUUCCGCUCCCUCGGCCUCUCCGACAAGAUCUGGAACAACGGGC
rnacentral:lncRNA from 1 species